UUGUCUUUUAAAUAAAGACCAGUAUGAAUGGCAAGACGAAAGUUCAACUGUCUCCCUAAAUUAAUCAGUGAAAUUGAUCUUUCCGUGCAGAAGCGGAAAUAUAAUUAUAAGACGAGAAGACCCUAUGGAGCUUUAAACAUAUAAUCAAUUGUAAAACAUAAGAUCCGAAAGACUAAAUAUAAAAUAAAACAAUAUGAUUAAAAUUUUAGGUUGGGGCGACCACGGAAAAAAACAAAACCUCCGAGAUGAAGAGAAUAUCUUAAUUCAAGAACUACAAUUCUAAAAAAUAAAAUAUUUAACAUAAUUGAUCCAAUAUUUUUGAUCAACGAACCAAGUUACCCUAGGGAUAACAGCGCAAUCCUCUCCAAGAGUCCCUAUCGACGAGUGGGUUUACGACCUCGAUGUUGGAUCAGGACACCCCAAUGGUGCAGCCGCUAUUAAAGGUUCGUUUGUUCAACGAUUAAAGU
rnacentral:rRNA from 1 species